rnacentral:rRNA from 1 species
UACGAAGGGGGCUAGCGUUGCUCGGAAUCACUGGGCGUAAAGCGCGCGUAGGCGGAUCGUUAAGUCGGGGGUGAAAUCCUGGAGCUCAACUCCAGAACUGCCUUUGAUACUGGCGAUCUUGAGUCCGGGAGAGGUGAGUGGAACUCCGAGUGUAGAGGUGAAAUUCGUAGAUAUUCGGAAGAACACCAGUGGCGAAGGCGGCUCACUGGCCCGGUACUGACGCUGAGGUGCGAAAGCGUGGGGAGCAACAGG